GCGCGCGGCGGGCCUACGGGAGGCAGCAGUGGGGAAUAUUGCACAAUGGGCGCAAGCCUGAUGCAGCCAUGGCCGCGUGUAUGAAGAAGGCCUUCGGGUUGUAAAGUACUUUCAGCGGGGAGGAAGGGAGUAAAGUUAAUACCUUUGCUCAUUGACGUUACCCGCAGAAGAAGCACCGGCUAACUCCGUGCCAGCAGCCGCGGUAAUA
rnacentral:rRNA from 1 species